AACGUUGCAUCUUGUACAAUAG
rnacentral:miRNA from 1 species